rnacentral:rRNA from 1 species
GUGGGGAAUCUUAGACAAUGGGCGCAAGCCUGAUCUAGCCAUGCCGCGUGAGCGAUGAAGGCCUUAGGGUUGUAAAGCUCUUUCAGCUGGGAAGAUAAUGACGGUACCAGCAGAAGAAGCCCCGGCUAACUCCGUGCCAGCAGCCGCGGUAAUACGGAGGGGGCUAGCGUUGUUCGGAAUUACUGGGCGUAAAGCGCACGUAGGCGGAUCAGAAAGUCAGAGGUGAAAUCCCAGGGCUCAACCAUGGAACUGCCUUUGAAACUCCUGAUCUUGAGGUCGAGAGAGGUGAGUGGAAUUCCGAGUGUAGAGGUGAAAUUCGUAGAUAUUCGGAGGAACACCAGUGGCGAAGGCGGCUCACUGGCUCGAUACUGACGCUGAGGUGCGAAAGCGUGGGGAGCAAACAGGAUUAGAAACCCUAGUAGUCC